UGAAGAAAAUUCAGCUCCUGAAGAUAUUUACAUUCAUGUCAGUAACUGAGUAAUUGAUGUUAAAUCUAUUGCUGAUGAAUUGUGGUGUAAUAAAUGCAAUUUACAAUUAAGUUUAAAACACAUUGUCAAAGAGAACAUUUUGGGGUUAGCAAGUAUUUUUUAUGUGAAGUGUACGAAAUGUAAAAACAUUUACUUAGUUAAUACAAGCAGUUUAAAAAAUAAUAAUACAAAUCACAAACAAUUUAACAUAAACUUGAGACUAGCUUUUGCUUUCAUUGAUGCAGGGAUCGGAGAAGCUCAGAUCAAUACAAUUCUUUCUGCGUUAGAUAUACCAAUAAUAAACAGUGCAUUGCUGAAAAGAUAUGGAAGAAUUGUUGGAGCAGCUAUUGAACAGGUGGCCGAGGAUAGUUGUCAAGACUUCAUACGUCUAGAAAAACAAUUAACAAUAGAUGCUGAUAAAAAACAAUCCUCUGAUACAACGAAACAUCCAAGUAAAAUCAGCAAAAAGUUUAUUGAAUUUAUUUUCAAUAAAAAACUAACUGUUUGAAUUGAAAAUAAAUAUAACACCAUGACGAUUUUAUAAAAGGUAACUUUCUUACAACUAAU
rnacentral:lncRNA from 1 species